rnacentral:rRNA from 1 species
UUGGAGGGCAAGUCUGGUGCCAGCAGCCGCGGUAAUUCCAGCUCCAAUAGCGUAUAUUAAAGUUGUUGCAGUUAAAAAGCUCGUAGUUGAAUUUCGGGAUUGACGAGAUGGUCAUGCCUUAAGGGGUAUGAACUGUUACUGUUGAUUUCUCACCUUCUGGAGAAACUUGAUGUCCUUUAUUGGGUGUCUUGCGGAUCCAGGACCUUUACCCCGAAAAAAUUAGAGUGUUUAAAGCAGGCAUUUUUGCUCGAAUACAUUAGCAUGGAAUAAUAGAAUAGGACGGCAUGGUUCUAUUUUGUUGGUUUCUAGGAUCACCGUAAUGAUUAAUAGGGAUAGUUGGGGGCAUUAGUAUUCAAUUGUCAGAGGUGAAAUUCUUGGAUUUAUUGAAGACUAACUACUGCGAAAGCAUUUGCCAAGGAUGUUUUCAUUAAUCAAGAACGAAAGUUAGGGGAUCGAAGACGAUCAGAUACCGUCGUAGUCUUAACCAUAAACUAUGCCGACUACGAAUCAGACGAUGUUAAUUUUUUAAUGACUCGUUUGGCACCUUACGGGAAACCAAAGUGUUUGGGUUC